rnacentral:rRNA from 1 species
UGGGGAAUAUUGCACAAUGGGCGCAAGCCUGAUGCAGCCAUGCCGCGUGUGUGAAGAAGGCCUUCGGGUUGUAAAGCACUUCAGCGAGGAGGAAGGUGGUGAACUUAAUACGUUCAUCAAUUGACGUUACUCGCAGAAGAAGCACCGGCUAACUCCGUGCCAGCAGCCGCGGUAAUACGGAGGGUGCAAGCGUUAAUCGGAAUUACUGGGCGUAAAGCGCACGCAAGGCGGUUUGUUAAGUCAGAUGUGAAAUCCCCGGGCUCAACCUGGGAACUGCAUUUGAAACUGGCAAGCUAGAGUCUCGUAGAGGGGGGUAGAAUUCCAGGUGUAGCGGUGAAAUGCGUAGAGAUCUGGAGGAAUACCGGUGGCGAAGGCGGCCCCCUGGACGAAGACUGACGCUCAGGUGCGAAAGCGUGGGGAGCAAAACAGGAUUAGAUACCCUGGUAGUCCACGCUGUAAAACGAUGUCGAUUUGGAGGUUGUGCCCUUGAGGCGUGGCUUCCGGAGCUAACGCG